rnacentral:rRNA from 1 species
UACGUAGGGUGCAAGCGUUUAUCCGGAAUUAUUGGGCGUAAAGAGCUCGUAGGCGGUUUGUCGCGUCUGCUGUGAAAACCGGAGGCUCAACCUCCGGCCUGCAGUGGGUACGGGCAAACUAGAGUGCGGUAGGGGAGAUUGGAAUUCCUGGUGUAGCGGUGGAAUGCGCAGAUAUCAGGAGGAACACCGAUGGCGAAGGCAGAUCUCUGGGCCGUAACUGACGCUGAGGAGCGAAAGCUAGGGUAGCAAACGGG